AAUACCUUUCUCUUCCCAAGACAAGGUGUUAAAGCACGUGAACUUCCCCUGGCUACAGGUAACGAGAAGGAAGGAGAAAGGCCCCAUGGCCAUAAAACAAGUUUGUUCUCUUGAGGAGAAAGGAUUUCACACAGCGAGGAACCCAGUGCCACCAACACGAGCAGGGCCUGCUGCAAUUCAGUUUCAGAGGCAAGAGCAACCUGCAAAGAGGUGUUACACUACAGAAACUGCUGAGAACAGAAAUAGUUUCUAAAACUCUGAAGAAGCGUCACUGAUUACCAGUAGCUGAUAACUCAAAAAUAUGUAAAGAUGAUUCAGUUAUCCUGUUCACAAGUUCUAGAAUUCUCUCUUAUUCUGAAGUAACUUUUUUGUAAGUGUAGUGUUCUGUCAGUGCAACCAUCCACUCACAGCCCCCAGGUGAAAUAUGCUUGCUGCACUAACAGUGGAGUCAGCGGGGGCAAGCAAGUCUCAGUUUCUCAGCUAGCUGGUAUAGACGAAGGAACAGUAAAGCUGGCAUCUUGCACAAAGGGGAAGGACAGUCCUGGAAGGACCAACUGGAAAAGACAGCGUAAAAGAUGCACUUUCAUUCCAUGUGAACAUCAAAGGACUCAGGGAUUAUGGUCCAAGCCACCAUCACACACUCCUAUAAAACCCAAACACACCAGAAAGCGUUUGGACAUCACGUACCACAGACCUGGCAAAAGGGGAUGCCCAUGUUAUGACAGAGACAAGUAGAGAAAACUCAAAGGCCAGUGAGUAACUUGCUAUGGCCAGGAGAUAAUGCACGACUUUUAAGUUUACUAACAAGGCACGUAAUAAAUGAACAAUUUCCUUAAGCAGAAUUGUGCAGUGGUCUAUGUAUUUAAUUGGAGGAUCCAAAAAGAAAGUUUAUGAUACAAAAAAGGCGUUAUAUAUACAUAUACACACACAGAAUAUAUCUAUAUGCUUAUAUAGAUAAAUCAGUAAACUUGAAUAGUGUCUUUAUCAAGAGCAUCUUAAGGCAUUCAAACAUCUUACUGUGACAUUGAUCCAACUCAGUAUUUUUUGCUUUGGCUGAGUUAAAGCAAACUGAUUAAAAGGUCUGAUCUGAAACGCCAAAGACCAAUGCCUAAAGGUAUCUCGGGUGACAGCAGCAGCAUCUAAGAACCCACCCACCGCACUAUUAGCUAAAUAAUAUUAAAAGGAGUCUAAAUAAAUCACUCCCACUCACAGCUUGGAGCUUUGCAACAGCAGAAGAUGUCAGUCUCAAAGUGACUUUCUAGCCAUAUAUUCUAUAGAUUCUAUUACAAAUCGAGGAUAGAAAAGAUACAGCAAGAGGGCCUGCCCUAGGAUAGAAUGCCACUGAAUAUCAAAUAGUAUUUACAGUACAGUAACAUGAUUAUAGAACAUUUUAUAAAUACAAUUUAUAUGUAUACAAGGGCACAUAGGAGAGAUUCAUUUUCAUGCUUUACAAAGUAAUCCGAACUAAAACUUACUGCAGAAUUCCACAGCUACUGGUUAGGAGCCUCUCUUCUCAACUGCCAGUACAAAGCAAUCCCCAUGAUGAAUCACAAGAGAAAUACCCAUGUUUUAAGCAGCAGCUCUGAAGAAUCUCAACAGACUCGAGAGUGUGAAACAUGAAGUUUCAAAACAUGGGUAAGGCAUAGUGUGUUGGCGAGUUGUGCCAACAUUUAUAUAAGUAACUUCCUCUUCUCAGAGAAGAACUUGGACCGUAACACGCUGCAUUUUUGCAAAGAAAUAUAUAAUGCUUUAGCAUAUAGAUGGCAAAAUUCAGACCCGCAAUAUUACAACUUCUAACACAAGGUAACAGGAAAUGCUAGAAGCAUCAGCCCAAGUCUAAAAAUGGGAAGGAGCUCUUCCUUUGUUUCACAAUGGUAAAAUACUAUUUAAUAUUUCAGUACUUGCACAUGUCCAUGAAACACUCGAUAAUUCCUUUUCAAUAAAAGCAAUUGGCUUUGCUUAAACAGAACUGUGGUGCCUUUGCAGGACCCUUCUGUGUUGUUGUUUUUUUUUUGUGGUAGUGGUUGCUUUUGUGUUUUGUUUUUUUUAAAGCUAGCUAGAGAUCAGUCAUAAUGUUAAAUUGGAAUACAACAUUAUAUAAAGCAGGCAAAGGAGAAGUAUACUCAGAUAAAAAUGCAAUUUUAACAGUCAAUUUAAUGAAGAACUGACAUUAUUUUCUCUGCAAACUUCACAAAUGGCAAGGUAGGUUUCAUUAAAUUACCUUUAACCAGUAAUAUAUUACACUUUACUCCAAGCAAAGUAGACCAGUUUUACUGGGAUACUUACUAUGAAGGAGGAUAAUCUUUAAACGUUUAUUUACAUUGAAAACAAUCUUUUUUACAUAAUAUAUAAAAUGGAGUAGCUAUACACUGCAGCCAUUUUAUAAUAUUUAAGCUAAAUGAAAUUAAUCUGAAAAGCUAUUCUGUUUCAACAGCUGUAGAACAGCUAGACAGAACAUACAUUGUUUUAUUAAGCCAAUUUUCACUGUAGCAAGCAACUACCUGCUAAAAUUUUGUUUUGUUUUGUAACCAUCUCAUAAUCCUAAGCACUUCACAGUAGAGGGGUGAACUUAAAAAAAAAAAAAAAAAAAUGCUUUGUCCUGCGAUGAAGUCUGAUAAAGAGGGCUGGCAGCAUGGAGAUGUCUUAACUGCAAUUCACUCCUCCCUCGGUUAUGUCAACAUAAACCAUUUUUUGGACAACACUGGAAACUGGAUCAUUUCAAUGAGCACGCCCCACAGCAACAACAAACAACGUCCAGAUGCUGAACACCAAGCAGUUUUUUCACUGAUCCAGUAACAGUGUAGUACCAUAGCCGGCUGCACUGGCACAGAGAGAGACACUGAACUGGAGCACAGAAAGCGGAUGAAUGGCUGGAAGCGCACAAGAAUGCUUUAGACCAGCUCGGUAAGGAACCUGAAUUAGCAAGCUAGUGUCUGCUGCCAGAAUAGCUAUGAUGGUCAUCAGGACAAUGCAAUAGCACAAAGUAAUGAUUUAAGAAAGCACUAACGCUUUACAUGUACAUUAUUACAUCUAUCCACUGGAAUUCAAUUCCAAGGAUGAAGUGUUUAAAAAGGUAGUGCAUUUUAUUUAUUAAUGUGUUAGCUUCAGGGGAGGGAGAGAGAGACGAAGAGAAAUAAAAGUGUAAUUCUUUCUGCCUCUCACCUGCAACUCCCCGUUUUGUCUCAGGGAAUUCAUUGACAAGGCUGCCCCGCUCCCUGCACCCAGUAACCUCAGCAGGCUCAUUACCCUCCCAAAAUGAGACCAAGGGGAAGGCUGCUCACCUGCCGUGGAAAGUUACCGACAGAGUAAUGCAGAACGCAGCGGGCAGCCCUAAGCUCCUACUUCUGUUCUGAACUGGGCUGUGAAAGACGGACCACUGAAACUGUGCUGAGGAAAACAAGCAGCUCAGGUAGACGGGUGCACGACAUUUCUCCUUGCUGCCUGCGUCACUAGGAGGAAACCUGUUAAAACUAAGGGAAACCGGUCUCCGCAACAACAGUCUCAAAAGCUGUAAUUUAUACUUCUUUCUCAUUACUUUCUCAAUCAUACAAUAAACUAUUCUAAAGUUUAGUUUUCAAACUAAAAA